rnacentral:lncRNA from 1 species
UUUAAGAUAAGAUUCACAUCGAUGGAAUGAUAGCCUUAUAUACGCAUUCUUAUUAGUUAUGGAAUAUAUUUACACUGCAUACAAAUGGAGUUAAUUGCUCGAGAUAUUUCUAAUAUACGUUGGGGUGCGGAACUAGGCUCACUGAGUAAACCAGUUACUCAUGACUCAUUUGUGAUGCAGGUAACCAGUAGACGGGAGACCUUACUCUAGGACGGGAAGGAACAUCAUUAGCCAGCGGUAGUUUUAUUAUCC